rnacentral:lncRNA from 1 species
GGUGAUACUGAUCAUCCACUAUGUGAUAAAAAAAGUGUACAAAGUUAACAAUGGCCUCUCAAAUGCAAAUAAAACAAAAAGAAACCGACCUCAACCCUCAAAAUCAAUCAACCCCCAGUAGUUUAACCUCACAAUAGCUCUCUUAGACUUGUGAUUUCCCUUGUUCAUUCUCUUUAGAAAUACAAGACUCACCAACUUAAAAAAAGAGAGAGAGAGAGAGAGAGAAUCCAAUACCCAAUUACAAGUUACUGAAAAUAUAUAUAUAAAACAGAUUAAAAAAGCACGCGCCGCGCCCGUCCCCCAAUUCCUGCUUUGCGACGCUGAAAAAUAUCGCUUUCCCCAAAAAGACAAAUGAAUCAGUUACAGAAAUAUAUCUAAUUAUAAUGGACAUUGUUAAAUUAAUGAAGAAGAGUAGAGAGAGAGCAAACGAGAAGGAAAGCGUAUACAAAUUAUAAUUACUAACCAGAGUUAUUAGCACCAUUACAUAUAUAUAUCCCUGCUGAAUCCCCCCUCCUCUGUUCACCAUUCGUUUCUAAAAUGGAUUAAAAAAUAACUACUAAUUAAUUUUAAUUAAAAUAGAGUGAGCAUGCAAUGCAUGCAGGAGAUCUAGAAAGCAAUUAUAUAAGGUUGUAAUUGGAGCAUCUUCCAUGUAUUUUGUAAAUAGAGUGAGCAUGCAAUGCAUGCAAUGUAUUUUGUAAUUGCAGCCGCGCACUUCACUUAAUGUCGAUGUUGGGAAUGUGGCGUAUCUUUGGCCAGUCCUCUCCUGUCUCCUUUCUGCAACGUUCUUCUAAAAUAUGACAUCCCCACAAAAUCUCCAAUUUCUGCAGCGUUGUCUUCUGAAGAAGGUGAUCGGGCAGUGCUUUUAAUUUAGGGCAUUCAUCAAUUGACAAGGAAGAAAGACGUGGCAUGAUUAUGAUUUCUCCCUUUAUUGCAGUCCCGAAAUCCAACUCUUCCAGUUCUUCCAUAAUGCGAAAUCUGAGCUCUUUCAAUUUGGGAAAGGCAAUAACUGAGGAGCCAUCCGUAUCACUUUCUACUCCCAGAAAUUCAUUGCCCACUCUUUUCACACUUUUCAUUACUUCAAUUUCAAGAUAUUCAAGGGAUGGCAAUUUUCCCAAAGGAGGCAAAUGCUCGCAAUUUAUCCACCCGUAGAGAACUAAAGCCCUUAAAUUGGUUAACGACAUGAACCAAUUUAUGGGGACAACAUUCCUCCUCCCUCUGUAACCACCACCUAUCCGUAAUUUCUUUAAAUUAGGAGGUGGUCCCAAGGCUUCAAGAAGCCGUUCAUCUUCAUCCUCCUCAUUCUCCCUCCUCCCAGCUUGUUCUUCAUCUCCAUCUCUUACAUAAUUAAAAUAAAGUCCCAACUCAACGAGAUUUUUCUUUUUCUCAAGUUCAGCCCUUCGAGCCUCCCCCGCAUCUGACACACCACCCAGCCCAUAUAUCCUGCAGUCUUGAAGGAGAUUAAGCUUUUUAAGAGACCCAAGGCUACAUGCUCUGCCAUACCCUCCGCCCACAUCAAACUGUCUCACCCUCCGAAGACUGAUUAAUUCCCCAAUCCCUACUGGCAAGUAUCUUAAAAACCAAGUGUCAUCAUUGUCUAAAUACAUCAGCUUUCUUAACUUCCCAAUCCCUUGAGGUAAUUCUCUAAGAUUAAAACAACCACUAACAUUUAAACGUUCUAAAUUAUAUAACUCACACAAUGUCUCGGGUAAUUUUUGUAUCCACUCUUGAUGGGCCAAACUAAGGUAUUUCAAAUGUAUCAAUUUUUCUAUAUUUUUUGGAAUUUCGUUGAUGUGAUUCACACAUGACCACAUAUCACUCGCAUUUAAUUCUAAUGCCCUUAAACAAGUUAAUUUACCAAAUAAUUGAGGUAGGACUUCGCUAGACCAUGAAUAUUCAUCACCCUCAACCAAGAGGCUACGCAAUCGUCUCAUUCUCUUAACAUUAUUCCAAAUGGCUAUCGGGACUGAAGUCCCCUCGUCUAUAGUUAACCUUAAAUGAAGAACUUUUUUCUGCUCAAAGGAACUCAUAAUUGACUCUUCACCACCAGGAAUUUCCACUGUUAAACAUUCAUUCCUGCAUAUAAAUUGGGCAAGAUCGUGCACUAAAUCGUGCAUUUUGCACUUAUAGACUUUACCAUCACCAUCUCUUUCGAACUCUUGAAAAAAUGAACUACUAGCUAAAAUGUUGAAAUACUCUUCACCUAUGUCCUCCAUCUCUUUGUUUCCUUUCUCAUUAAGGUAACCUUGAGCCAUCCAUAGUUCAAUUAACUUAUACUUCCGUAUUUCUAGGUCUUUCGGAAAAACAGCACAAUAUGAGAAACAAUGUUUUACCUUAGAGGGCAAUUCAUUGUAACUCAACAACAGAGGGGCCAAUAGACCUCUCUCAACCACUUCGUGAUCCCAUAUCUCACUCUUUAAAAUAUUUUGCCAUUCUUCUUCAGUGUUUUUAGACCUUAAAAGGCUACCAAUGGUCUUUACAGCUAGAGGUAAGCCCUUGCAUUUUCCUACAAUUUCUCGACCAAUUUUUUUUAAAUUCUCACAUCCCUCCAUGGACUUGCCGAAAAAUGCUAAUGACUCAAAAAUUGACCAGCAUUCCUUUUUAGACAAAAGAUCAAUUGGGAUAAUUUUAGUUGAUCUCAUAUUAUGGGCAGUUGUUUCAUCACGUGUAGUAAUUAAAAUUUUACUUCCAUGGAGACCAUUCUUUAAACAAUUGUAGAAUGGUUCCCAUUUAGAGUAAUCUUUAUUCCACACGUCGUCUAAGAUAAGAAGAAAUUUCUUCCCUUCAACACAUUCUUGAAUAUGUUGCAUGAGAGAUUGAAACUCUACAAGGUCUUUGGCGGAACCUGGCUUCAGAGCCUCAAUGAUUGCCCUAGCAAUUUUGAACUCAUCAAACGGGUCUGACACACAGACCCAUAUUCUUUUCUCAAAAUGAUUUUUAACAUCAUCGUUGUUGUAGGCUAAUUGAGCAAGAGUAGUUUUGCCUAUGCCCCCCAUCCCAACAAGUGAGAUGACACAGGGGCCUUUCUGCUCUUCACUACUCUCACAUAACAGCCUAUUAACCAGAUCGUUCUUCUGUGUUUCUCUACCAAAUAUCUCGGACUCAUCAAUUAAGGAGAUACUUGGUACUCGUUGAUCCGCUCUCUCAUUACUGUUAAUAACAUUCACAGCAAAACCAAACUCGGCUUUUUGUUUGGCAAUAUCAUCAAGAGUUUCGUUGAUUUCUUUGAUCUUGAGAGCAAUGUCACGACGUAGAACAAGUGGUUUGCAGGCAAAGCAAGAGGCAGCAGGAAAGAAGGAACAUACCUUCUUCUUAGGAACGAGAGCAUCAUUCUCAUGAUCAUCCACUCCAUCGAUCUGCAGUUUGAGCCUUGCAGUGUUCCACUCACCCAACACGUCUUCCAUGUCGUAACAUGCGUCUCUGAGUUGAUCGAGCCAGAGUCUGACAGUUUCCUCCUUCACUUGCCUUUUCUCUGCAUCAUGGAGCACAGCUUCAAUGGCUCGGAGACUGCUGGUCAGCUUCUUCACUUCCUUUCCGACACCCGUUACUAGCCUCACUUGUUCCUUCGCCUCUGCAACGACCAUUGAAGUCAGCUGCUCCAAGAUAGGGGAAAGGAUCGCAUCAACCAUGGUGAAAAAGAAGAAAGAGAGAGAGAAGAAAUUGAUGGUGAAUUGUUGCAAAAGUAAGUAAUGCUGAAAGAAAUGAAGGAGAUGAUAAUGUGGUGAAAAUGUUGCCGUAUUCUUUCAAUUCUUAUAGUGCUGCAAGCAAAAUUCCCAAUUUAGAAAUAUUUCAAUUCAUCAGAAGUUAUUGUUAUUAUCUUUCUUUUUGUUUUUUUUAAAUUUUUUUAACCAGUGUGGUAUAUGAAACUGACAAAAUUGUUAUAUAAUAUAUUAUCUCUCUUUUCAAUAAUUGAACAAGUUGUUAUAUAAUAUAUUGUCUCUCUUUUCAAUAAUUGAACGAGUUGUUAUAUAAUAUACAUUAUCGUGUGAGCAGAUACAUUG